CCGCAUCUGUGCAUGCAGCAUAUCAAUAAGCGGAGGAAAAGAAACUAACAAGGAUUCCCUUAGUAACGGCGAGUGAAGCGGGAAGAGCUCAAAUUUGAAAUCUUCAAGGUUUUACCUUGACGAAUUGUAGUUUAAAGAAGUGUUUUCUGUUGAAGUUUAGGUAAAAGUUCUUUGGAAUAGGACAUCAUAGAGGGUGAGAAUCCCGUAUUUGACCAUUAUUUUCAGCUGUGUGAUACACUUUCAAAGAGUCGGAUUGUUUGGGAAUGCAGUCCAAAAUGGGUGGUAAAUUUCAUCUAAAGCUAAAUAUUGGCGAGAGACCGAUAGCGAACAAGUACCGUGAGGGAAAGAUGAAAAGAACUUUGAAAAGAGAGUUAAACAGUACGUGAAAUUGUCAAAAGGGAAGCGUUUGACACCAGUGUUGUUUUCUCGAAAAUCAAUUAAAAAGAGUUUGAUUUUGUUGUGUAUUGACCUUAACAGCAUUGCAUUUCAAUUUUCUUGCUUUUUUUAAUGCACUUUUCGUUUAACAAGUCAACAUCAGUUUCUUUUGUUGUAAAAAGGUCAUUGGAAGGUGGCUUUCUUUUCGGAGAAAGUGUUUAUAGCCUUUGACUCCUGCAAUCGGAGAGACUGAGGUCUGCAGCGUAGAUCCUUCGGGGUUAGAUACAUUUGUGCUAAGUUAUAGCUUUUUAGUAGACAACUUGUUGACUAUGAUUAGUCUUGUAGCUUACUCGCUUAUGCUAUUUUACCUACGCUUAGGAUGUUGACACACGCGCGUGCUCG
rnacentral:rRNA from 1 species